rnacentral:lncRNA from 1 species
ACAGAGCCUGGAUUCAGGGCUGGCUGCAGCCAAGGGAACACAGACUGGAGAUUAAGCAGGCCUAAAGUUUCCAAAGUCAGCGAUUUCAAAGAAAAACGCAGCAAAAAAAAAAAAAAAAAAAAAAAAACAGCUGUCACUGAGGGGCAGAGAACAGCAAACUCCUCUCAUCUGACCCACAGAAUGAGCUUCGGGGAGGCAGGGCCAGAGAACCACCCAGACAAAACAAACAAAACAAUAAGCCCAGCAACAUGGAGGGAAAGGUUCUGAACCUGCCAUAAUCUCUCAAGGACUGAAGUCAACCAGAAGCCAGAGAGCAAAGGAACUGGAUAAAGCCCUGGGGUCAGCCCCCUAGAACAGGGCAAGAGGGGCCAAGAGAGGAGACCCAGGGUGAGUUUUCCUAUUUCUUCCUCAUAGAGGGAGCCAAACAGGGGCUGUUCCUGAAUUAGAAUGACA